AUUGAACGCUGGCGGCAUGCCUUACACAUGCAAGUCGAACGCCCGCACGGGUGCUUGCACCUGGUGGCGAGUGCCGAACGGGUGCUUCAUACAUCGGCACAUUUCCCGUAGUGGGCGUUAGCUCGUCGAAAGCCCGCUUAAUACCGCAUACGAUCUCCGGAUGACAUCGGGGGACCUUCGGUCCUCUCGCUAUUGGGUUGGCCGAUGGCUGAUUCGCUAGUUGGUGGGGUAAAGGCCUACCAAGGCGACGACCAGUAGCUGGUAUGAGAGCCCGACCAGCCACACGGGGAGUGAGAAACGGCACAGACUCCUACGGGAGGCAGCAGUGGGGAAUUUUGGACAAUGGGCGAAAGCCUGAUACAGCAAUGCCGCGUGUGUGAAGAAGGACUUAGGGUUGUAAAGCAAUUUUGUCCGGAAAGAAAUCCUUGGCCCUAAGACGGGCGGGGGAUGACGGUACCGGAAGAAUAAGCACCGGCUAACUACGUG
rnacentral:rRNA from 1 species